rnacentral:ncRNA from 1 species
GUCAACUACCACCCGCCUGUAGAGGCGGUGGCUUGCAAAAGCCAUAGUUGACCAGCCUAAGGAACUGACUCGAAGGACAAGGGGAUGAUGUUCCUAC